AGGAGGAUUGAGAAAGUGUGGCAGCCAGAUCAAUGUUGCCAUAACUGCGUAUUCCCUCCAACAGUAAGAGUGGCAAAUGACUCUUUUCUAACAGCCUAACUCUACUACAGGCUGUAUGUGGUGAUUUGCCUACACUAC